CUGGCGGCGUGCUUAACACAUGCAAGUCGAGCGAGGAAAUUCUUUCGGGAAUUUCCUAGCGGCGGACGGGUGAGUAACACGUGGGCAACCUGCCUGAUAGAGGGGGAUAGCCUCCCGAAAGGGAGAUUAAUACCGCAUAAAGUCAAAUGAAGGCAUCUUCAAAUGACCAAAGGAGUAAUCCGCUAUCAGAUGGGCCCGCGGCGCAUUAGCUAGUUGGUGAGGUAACGGCUCACCAAGGCGACGAUGCGUAGCCGACCUGAGAGGGUGAUCGGCCACAUUGGGACUGAGACACGGCCCAGACUCCUACGGGAGGCAGCAGUGGGGAAUAUUGCACAAUGGGGGAAACCCUAAUGCAGCAACGCCGCGUGAGUGAUGAAGGCCUUCGGGUUGUAAAGCUCUGUCUUCAGGGACGAUAAUGACGGUACCUGAGGAGGAAGCCACGGCUAACUACGUGCCAGCAGCCGCGGUAAUACGUAGGUGGCAAGCGUUGUCCGGAUUUACUGGGCGUAAAGGGAGCGUAGGCGGAUACUUAAGUGGGAUGUGAAAUACCUGGGCUUAACUUGGGUGCUGCAUUCCAAACUGGGUGUCUAGAGUGUUGGAGAGGAAAGUGGAAUUCCUAGUGUAGCGGUGAAAUGCGUAGAGAUUAGGAAGAACACCAGUGGCGAAGGCGACUUUCUGGACAAUAACUGACGCUGAGGCUCGAAAGCGUGGGGAGCAAGCAGGAUUAGAUACCCUGGUAGUCCACGCCGUAAACGAUGGGUACUAGGUGUAGGGGGUAUCGACUCCCCCUGUGCCGCCGUUAACACAAUAAGUACCCCGCCUGGGGAGUACGGUCGCAAGAUUAAAACUCAAAGGAAUUGACGGGGGCCCGCACAAGCAGCGGAGCAUGUGGUUUAAUUCGAAGCAACGCGAAGAACCUUACCUAGACUUGACAUCUCCUGAAUUACUCUUAAUCGAGGAAGUUCUCCCUUCGGGGAGGACAGGAAGACAGGUGGUGCAUGGUUGUCGUCAGCUCGUGUCGUGAGAUGUUGGGUUAAGUCCCGCAACGAGCGCAACCCUUAUUGUUAGUUGCUACCAUUUAGUUGAGCACUCUAGCAAGACUGCCGUGGUUAACCGGAGGAAGGUGGGGAUGACGUCAAGUCCUCAUGGCCCUUAUGGGUAGGGCUUCACACGUCAUACAAUGGUCGGUCCAGAGGGUUGCCAACCCGCGAGGGGGAGCUAAUCUCAGAAAGCCGAUCGUAGUCCGGAUUGCAGUCUGCAACUCGACUGCAUGAAGUCGGAAUCGCUAGUAAUCGCGGAUCAGCAUGUCGCGGUGAAUACGUUCCCGGGUCUUGUACACACCGCCCGUCACACCAUGGGAGCGGGUUCUGCCAGAAGUAGUUAGCCUAACCGCAAGGAGGGCGAUUACCACGGCAGGGUUCGU
rnacentral:rRNA from 1 species